ACCAGUGGUUCUAAGAUGACGUUUGAGAAAGGAGCCCAGCUCACAGUGAAUCUUGCUAUUCAGAACCCUGACCCUGCCGUGUACCAGCUGAAAAGCCCUGAAUCCAGUAACAUCUCUGUCUGCCUGUUCACUGAUUUUGAUUCGGAAGUCAAUGUGAAACCAUCCACAGAGUCCAACAUGAUUAGAUUGGAAAGUACUUCACUGGACAUGAAGACUAUGGAUUCCAAGAGCAACGGGGCCCUGGCCUGGAGCAACAGCUUUGAUUUGGGAUGCAACAGUACCUUCAACUACACCUUCCACUCCAGCUCAGAAUUUCCCUGUGAUGCCAAUGUGGUAGAGAAAGGCUUUGAAACAGAUAUGAACCUAAAUUUCUACAACCUGUUAGUGAUUGUGUUCCGCAUCCUCUUCCUGAAGGUGGUUGGCUUUAACCUGCUCAUGACGCUGCGGCUGUGGUCCAGCUGAGGUCGCGAAGAAUGUGAGAGCCCAGCGCUCCCUGGCUCCUCCCACACCUUCUCCCCCUCUUCAAGAAGAGAGGCACACUCUCUGCCCCCAUGGAGAAGAAGGUUCCCUCCACCUCUCUGGUCCCACUGGCAACGCCACUGACCGAACCCUAGCAGAUAUUUGUGAUCAAGAUGCUGAAGAGCUGCCAAACACCGCUGCCACACCCUCUGUCCCCUCAUCGCUGCUUGUCACUGCCUGACACUCCUGGCUAAGGAGCUGCUGCUGUGGCCUCACCUGGCUGGGGAGAAACUCCCCGACCUUCCCCUGAGACUGCCCAUAUGUCCCCUGGAUGAGGGAUCCCCAGUGGGUCCUCUCGGGCUCUAGCUCCUGGAGAAUGUUGUGAGGAGUUUAUAUAUUUUAAAUUAUGUUCAUAAAGGAAUAACACAUCACACUUGUCCCCAAGAUGUGAGGAAAAUUAUUAUCUAGGCCCUGCUGUGCUGUGUAUCUGAGCUACAUUGUAUAUUCUGCUACCCAUGACUUCAUUAAAGACGAUUGAAAGAGCA